rnacentral:rRNA from 1 species
UAGGGAAUCUUCCGCAAUGGACGCAAGUCUGACGGAGCAACGCCGCGUGAGUGAAGAAGGAUUUCGGUUCGUAAAACUCUGUUGUUAGAGAAGAACAGCGCAUAGAGUAACUGUUAUGCGUGUGACGGUAUCUAACCAGAAAGCCACGGCUAACUACGUGCCAGCAGCCGCGGUAAUACGUAGGUGGCAAGCGUUGUCCGGAUUUAUUGGGCGUAAAGCGAGCGCAGGCGGUCAAUUAAGUCUGAUGUGAAAGCCCCCGGCUCAACCGGGGAGGGUCAUUGGAAACUGGUUGACUUGAGUGCAGAAGAGGAGGGUGGAAUUCCAUGCGUAGCGGUGAAAUGCGUAGAUAUAUGGAGGAACACCAGUGGCGAAGGCGACUCUCUGGUCUGUAACUGACGCUGAGGCUCGAAAGCGUGGGUAGCAAACAGG